GAUCAUUAUCGAGUUUAUUCAACUCCCAAACCCUAUGUGAACUUACCACUUGUUGCUUCGGCGGCGCUCUCGGGCGUCGCCGAGGGUAUCAAACUCUUUUUGUUUUUACAGCAUUAUCUGAGUGGCCGCAAGGCAAAAAACAAAUGAAUCAAAACUUUCAACAACGGAUCUCUUGGUUCUGGCAUCGAUGAAGAACGCAGCGAAAUGCGAUAAGUAAUGUGAAUUGCAGAAUUCAGUGAAUCAUCGAAUCUUUGAACGCACAUUGCGCCCGCCAGCAUUCUGGCGGGCAUGCCUGUUCGAGCGUCAUUUCAACCCUCGAGCCCGACUCUUCGGAGGACGGCUCGGCGUUGGGGACCGGCAGACUGCCCCCCGCCUCCGGGCGAGGGACGCCGCCCCCGAAAUCUAGUGGCGGCCCUCCGCGGCGACCUCUGCGUAGUAACUCACCUCGCACUGGGAAGAACGGAGCGGCCACGCCGUAAAACACCCAACUUUUUCAAGGUUGACCUCGAAUCAGGUAGGACUACCCGCUGAACUUAAGCAUAUCANUANGCGGAGGAAAAGAAACUAACANGGAUUCCCCUAGUAACUGCGAGUGAAGCGGGNAAAAGCUCAAAUUUAAAAUCUGGCAGUCUUGUGCUGUCCGAGUUGUAAUUUARAGAAGCGUUAUCCGCGCUGGACCGUGUACAAGUCUCUUGGAAUAGAGCGUCAUAGAGGGUGAGAAUCCCGUCUUUGACACGGACUACCAGGGCAUUGUGAUACGCUCUCGAAGAGUCGAGUUGUUUGGGAAUGCAGCUCAAAAUGGGUGGUAAAUUCCAUCUAAAGCUAAAUAUUGGCGAGAGACCGAUAGCGAACAAGUACCGUGAGGGAAAGAUGAAAAGAACUUUGGAAAGAGAGUUAAACAGUACGUGAAAUUGCUGAAAGGGAAACGCUUGAAGUCAGUCGCGUUGGCUUGAAAUCAGCCUUGCUUUGCUUGGUGUACUUUCUAGUUGACGGGUCAACAUCAGUUUUGACCAUUGGAUAAGGAUGGAGGGAAUGUGGCUCCUUUAGGAGUGUUAUAGCCUUCUAUCGUAUACAGUGGUUGGGACUGAGGCUCUCAGCACGCUUUUAGUUGUGC
rnacentral:rRNA from 1 species